rnacentral:rRNA from 1 species
GUGAGGAAUAUUGCGCAAUGGAGGCAACUCUGACGCAGCCAUGUCGCGUGCAGGAAGAAGGCGCUACGCGUUGUAAACUGCUUUUAACCGGGAAGAAACCCCAGGACGUGUCCUGGGUUGACGGUACCGGAGGAAUAAGCACCGGCUAACUUCGUGCCAGCAGCCGCGGUAAUACGAAGGGUGCAAGCGUUAUCCGGAUUCAUUGGGUUUAAAGGGUGCGUAGGCGGAGCGUUAAGUCAGUGGUGAAAUCCUGCAGCUUAACUGUAGACUUGCCAUUGAUACUGGCGCUCUUGAGUGCGCUUGAAGUGGGCGGAAUGUGCCGUGUAGCGGUGAAAUGCUUAGAUAUGGCACAGAACACCAAUUGCGAAGGCAGCUCACUAAGGCGAUACUGACGCUGAGGCACGAAAGCGUGGGGAUCGAACAGGAUUAGAUACCCCAGUAGUCC